AAUAUGCUACACGCAAUGCUCUCUUCAAAGGACUGUGUGACAGAGCAGGGCAUCCUGAGGUUCCAAUAGCAGAGGGCAUCCCUGAGCCUCUUAAGCACCGCUGCAAGGCCAAGGUCGCCGGGAUCUUUCUCACCAACUCUGGCUGGUGGCCUCCUCCACGCGAUAUUAGCAGCCCCUGAAGCCAGCGCCGAGGACGCUGGAUGCCUUGAGAUGUUCUCAUGUAACUGUCUCAUCUCUUUGCUCCCUGGGUGUUGAUUAUUAUGUAGCGACAUGGAAACAAUUGUGACCUGAUAUUGUCACGUUGGUCUGAAGAUCGGCAACCACACUCAUAGUUUGACUAUGGAGCUGCCGCCAGAUGCAGAGACUUGCUGCCCAUGACCGGGUUCUUGUGGAUUUCCAGGUGCACAUGCGGCUCUUCCUGAAUUUUUGAUUGCACAUGAUUCUGAACAAGACAAAAACAAGUCAGGGCCAUCAGACGCAUAGGACCUGGAGAAAUUAGCUUCACAUGGAGGCAUCAACAAAUCACUGGAGAGCGGCAGCGGCUGCAGUCGGUGCUCCCGGAUGGAUACCUCGGCAACACCAUCUUCAUGGCCACGCAGCUCGCCGAGGCGGGGAAGGUGAAUGGCUCGCUGGCGGACG